rnacentral:tRNA from 1 species
GGCCCCAUCGUCUAGCGGCCUAGGACACCAGGUUUUCAUCCUGGGAAUCAGGGGUUCGAAUCCCCUUGGGGUCA